GGAACGUCGGCGCCCCGCAAGGGGCCUGGCCACAGGUGUUGCAUGGCUGUCGUCAGCUCGUGUCGUGAGAUGUUGGGUUAAGUCCCGCAACGAGCGCAACCCCUAUCGUGUGUUGUAUCACUCACACGAGGCUGCCGAGAGAAACUCGGAGGAAGGCGGGGAUGACGUCAAGUCAGCAUGGCCCUUACGUCCUGGGCUACACCCACGCUACAAUGGCCGGUACAACGGGCGGCGAAACCGCGAGGUGGAGCAAAUCCCUUAAAGCCGGUCUCAGUUCGGAUUGUAGGCUGCAACUCGCCUACAUGAAGCCGGAGUUGCUAGUAACCGCCGGUCAGCAUACGGCGGUGAAUAUGUUCCCGGGGCUUGUACACACCGCCCGUCACGUCAUGAAAGCUGGCAACACCCGAAGCCGGUGGGCCAACCCGCAAGGGAGGCAGCCGUCGAAGGUGGGGUCGGUGAUUGGGACGAAGUCGUAACAAGGUAACCGU
rnacentral:rRNA from 1 species